rnacentral:rRNA from 1 species
GACGAACGCUGGCGGCGUGCCUAAUACAUGCAAGUAGAACGCUGAGGUUUGGUGUUUACACUAGACUGAUGAGUUGCGAACGGGUGAGUAACGCGUAGGUAACCUGCCUCAUAGCGGGGGAUAACUAUUGGAAACGAUAGCUAAUACCGCAUAAGAGUAAUUAACACAUGUUAGUUAUUUAAAAGGAGCAAUUGCUUCACUGCGAGAUGGACCUGCGUUGUAUUAGCUAGUUGGUGAGGUAAAGGCUCACCAAGGCGACGAUACAUAGCCGACCUGAGAGGGUGAUCGGCCACACUGGGACUGAGACACGGCCCAGACUCCUACGGGAGGCAGCAGUAGGGAAUCUUCGGCAAUGGACGGAAGUCUGACCGAGCAACGCCGCGUGAGUGAAGAAGGUUUUCGGAUCGUAAAGCUCUGUUGUUAGAGAAGAACGUUGGUAGGAGUGGAAAAUCUACCAAGUGACGGUAACUAACCAGAAAGGGACGGCUAACUACGUGCCAGCAGCCGCGGUAAUACGUAGGUCCCGAGCGUUGUCCGGAUUUAUUGGGCGUAAAGCGAGCGCAGGCGGUUCUUUAAGUCUGAAGUUAAAGGCAGUGGCUUAACCAUUGUACGCUUUGGAAACUGGAGGACUUGAGUGCAGAAGGGGAGAGUGGAAUUCCAUGUGUAGCGGUGAAAUGCGUAGAUAUAUGGAGGAACACCGGUGGCGAAAGCGGCUCUCUGGUCUGUAACUGACGCUGAGGCUCGAAAGCGUGGGGAGCAAACAGG